UAGAAUAAAUUUCAAAAGGAGAGCAUAUUUUGUCCGGCAGAAGUCCCAGAUGCAGCAGGGUGCAGGAGAUAUUUUUUGGCACAUGCUGUUUCUGACUUAUA